rnacentral:rRNA from 1 species
GACGAACCGUGCAAACGUUGUUCGGAAUCACUGGGCUUAAAGGGCGCGUAGGCGGCUUGCCAAGUCAGGGGUGAAAUCUUUCGGCUUAACCGGAAAAGUGCCUUUGAUACUGGCAGGCUUGAGGGAGGUAGGGGCAUGUGGAACUUCCGGUGGAGCGGUGAAAUGCGUUGAUAUCGGAAGGAACGCCGGUGGCGAAAGCGACGUGCUGGACCUCUUCUGACGCUGAGGCGCGAAAGCGUGGGGAGCGAACAGG